AUUGAACGCUGGCGGCAUGCUUUACACAUGCAAGUCGAACGGCAGCGCGCGCUUUUGCCUGGCUGCGAGUGGCGAACGGGUGAGUAAUACAUCGGAACGUGCCCAGUAGUGCUGGAUAGCUCGGCUGAAGCCGGAUUACUACUGCAUACGACCUGAGGGUGAUAGCGGGGGACCUUCGGACCUCGCGCUAUUGGAGCGGCCGAUGGCAGAUUAGCUGGUUGGUGGGGUAAAGGCCUACCAAGGCGACGAUCUGUAGCUGGUCUGAGAGGAGGAUCAGCCCUACUGGGACUGAGAGACGGCCCAGAAUCCGAAGGGAGGCAGCAGUGGGGAAUGUUGGACAAUGGGCGAAAGCCUGACCAAGGAAUGCCGCGUGUGUGAUGAAGGCCUUCGGGUUGAAAAGCGCUUUUGGCGGGAAAGAAAAGGACUGUGCCAAUACCACGGUUCGAUGACGGUACCCGCAGAAUAAGCACCGGCUAACUACGUG
rnacentral:rRNA from 1 species